GCCCUGGGACUUCCUGAUCCUCCUGGCAUAUAAAUACCAGGGCAGGCCAGUGUGGCACAGCGCAGUGAGCAGAAACCCUCAGGCAAGCUGAGCCUUCCUUCCAGGAGGAUGAGGAACUUGAGAGCUGUUUCCUUCUUUAUCCUUGUGGCUGUCCUUGGAUCCCAGGCUGGGAUCACACCUGCAAUAAGAGAAAAGAGGGACAUUCAUCACAUUGAACCUCACGCAGUUUAUCAGAGCAUUCUAAAUGCUCCAGACUGCUGAUUCUCCUACGUCUACAUCUCAGAGAUCCUGUGCUCAAGAUUUGUAUAUUAUUUUCCAACCAGUGGUGGAUGCAUCAAACCAGGCAUCAUAUUUGUCUCCAAGAGAGGGAUCCGGGUCUGUGCCAAUCCCCUUGAUCAGGAAGUUCGGGAGUGCAUAAGACGGCUAAUGCAAAUCCCGGGACCUAGGAGCACUGCCAUAGCUUGAAGAGGCCUUAUACUGCCAGUCACUUCUUUCUGUCAUCCCCAGUGACCAUCUAGGAGGCUCUAAGUAUUUAUUUUUAUAGAUGCUUAAAACGUUCAUUCUGCUCUUCUGGUUGAAAGCAGCUCAUGUAGCAUUUAUAUGGACUUUUUUGCAUAGUUCCUCUGUAGAUCAUAAAAAGAUAAACGAUUAGAGUGGCCUCUGGGGCUUCGGAAUGUGUCUGGCUCUGAUACUAACAAGCCAGGUCCAUCAAGCCAAUAUGAAAAGAGUUUUGCCCUAGCCCAUAUACAUAUUCAACUUUGUGAGAGCCCAGCUGUUUUUCUACCACCCUAGAGCAGUAAGCAUCACCCUCACCCCCCAAAAAUAAAGUGUAUCCAUGUAGCCACA